rnacentral:rRNA from 1 species
GAUGAACGCUGGCGGCGUGCCUAAUACAUGCAAGUCGAGCGAACAGACGAGGAGCUUGCUCCUCUGACGUUAGCGGCGGACGGGUGAGUAACACGUGGAUAACCUACCUAUAAGACUGGGAUAACUUCGGGAAACCGGAGCUAAUACCGGAUAAUAUAUUGAACCGCAUGGUUCAAUAGUGAAAGACGGUUUUGCUGUCACUUAUAGAUGGAUCCGCGCCGCAUUAGCUAGUUGGUAAGGUAACGGCUUACCAAGGCAACGAUGCGUAGCCGACCUGAGAGGGUGAUCGGCCACACUGGAACUGAGACACGGUCCAGUCUCCUACGGGAGGCAGCAGUAGGGAAUCUUCCGCAAUGGGCGAAAGCUUGACGGAGCAACGCCGCGUGAGUGAUGAAGGUCUUCGGAUCGUAAAACUCUGUUAUUAGGGAAGAACAAAUGUGUAAGUAACUAUGCACGUCUUGACGGUACCUAAUCAGAAAGCCACGGCUAACUACGUG